UACGUAGGGGGCUAGCGUUGUCCGGAUUUAUUGGGCGUAAAGGGCUCGUAGGUGGCCAACUAAGUCAGACGUGAAAUCCCUCGGCUUAACCGGGGAACUGCGUCUGAUACUGGAUGGCUAGAGUUUGGGAGAGGGAUGCGGAAUUCCAGGUGUAGCGGUGAAAUGCGUAGAUAUCUGGAGGAACACCGGUGGCGAAGGCGGCAUCCUGGACCAACACUGACGCUGAGGAGCGAAAGCCAGGGGAGCAAACGGG
rnacentral:rRNA from 1 species